rnacentral:rRNA from 1 species
GGGCCCGCACAAGCGGAGGAACAUGUGGUUUAAUUCGAUGAUACGCGAGGAACCUUACCCGGGCUUGAAAUGCAGAGGAAUAACUUGGAAACAGGUUAGUCAGCAAUGACCUCUGUGUAGGUGCUGCAUGGUUGUCGUCAGCUCGUGCCGUGAGGUGUCGGCUUAAGUGCCAUAACGAGCGCAACCCUUGUCAUUAGUUACUAACAGGUUAAGCUGAGGACUCUAAUGAGACUGCCACCGUAAGGUGUGAGGAAGGUGGGGAUGACGUCAAAUCAGCACGGCCCUUACGUCCGGGGCGACACACGUGUUACAAUGGGGGGUACAGAAAGCAGCUACUUGGCGACAAGAUGCUAAUCUCCAAAACCUCUCUCAGUUCGGAUCGGAGUCUGCAACUCGACUCCGUGAAGCUGGAUUCGCUAGUAAUCGCGCAUCAGCCAUGGCGCGGUGAAUACGUUCCCGGGCCUU